UGCUACUUGAAUCUCAAACACUUUUUUUUCUGUUCUCGUUCUCUUUCCCUCGUCUCCCUUCCCUCUUCCUUCAUUUGUUUUGUAUCACCUAAAUUUUAUUAGCCAUCUGUAUUAAUGAAGCUAUUUUGCUUAUUUCUUUCCCGUUAUUUUCUCUUAAUUUCCUCUCAUUUCAUUUCCACCUCGCCCAAAUGUUAUCAUAAAUAUCUUGUUUGCCUUUUAGCCUAUAUGCCAUCUCCUUGUAGAUUUUGGUAGUAGAGAUCUUUUCCCUUAUUAUACUUAAU